rnacentral:sRNA from 1 species
CAAAGUCCCCCCCCGCUGCCGGCGGGAUUU